AAACCCCUCAAGCUCCGCUUGAUGUUGGGCGUUUGUCCCGCCCCCGUUGCGUGGACUCGCCUCAAAACCAUUGGCGGCCAGCGUAUUGGCUCAGAGCGCAGCAGAAUCGCGUCUCGGGACCCAGCACGCGGGCGUCCAGCAAGGAAACCCCCCCAU
rnacentral:misc_RNA from 1 species